rnacentral:miRNA from 1 species
UGUGCCUUUAAAAGGGAUGACCAAGGGGCUGGAGAGAUGGCUCGGAGGUUAAGAGCACUUACUGCUCUUCCAAAGGUCCUGAGCUCAGUUCCCAGAACCACAUGGCAG